rnacentral:rRNA from 1 species
CACGUAGGGUGCGAGCGUUGUCCGGAAUUAUUGGGCGUAAAGAGCUCGUAGGCGGUGUGUCGCGUCGGCCGUGAAAACCUGCAGCUUAACUGUGGGCGUGCGGUCGAUACGGGCAUCACUGGAGUUCGGCAGGGGAGACUGGAAUUCCUGGUGUAGCGGUGAAAUGCGCAGAUAUCAGGAGGAACACCGAUGGCGAAGGCAGGUCUCUGGGCCAUAACUGACGCUGGAGAAGCGAAAGCAUGGGGAGCGAACAGG